AAAUUGAAGAGUUUGAUCAUGGCUCAGAUUGAACGCUGGCGGCAGGCCUAACACAUGCAAGUCGAGCGGUAGCACAGAGAGCUUGCUCUCGGGUGACGAGCGGCGGACGGGUGAGUAAUGUCUGGGAAACUGCCUGAUGGAGGGGGAUAACUACUGGAAACGGUAGCUAAUACCGCAUAAUGUCGCAAGACCAAAGUGGGGGACCUUCGGGCCUCAUGCCAUCAGAUGUGCCCAGAUGGGAUUAGCUGGUAGGUGGGGUAACGGCUCACCUAGGCGACGAUCCCUAGCUGGUCUGAGAGGAUGACCAGCCACACUGGAACUGAGACACGGUCCAGACUCCUACGGGAGGCAGCAGUGGGGAAUAUUGCACAAUGGGCGCAAGCCUGAUGCAGCCAUGCCGCGUGUGUGAAGAAGGCCUUCGGGUUGUAAAGCACUUUCAGCGGGGAGGAAGGCGGUGAGGUUAAUAACCUCACCGAUUGACGUUACCCGCAGAAGAAGCACCGGCUAACUCCGUGCCAGCAGCCGCGGUAAUACGGAGGGUGCAAGCGUUAAUCGGAAUUACUGGGCGUAAAGCGCACGCAGGCGGUCUGUCAAGUCGGAUGUGAAAUCCCCGGGCUCAACCUGGGAACUGCAUUCGAAACUGGCAGGCUAGAGUCUUGUAGAGGGGGGUAGAAUUCCAGGUGUAGCGGUGAAAUGCGUAGAGAUCUGGAGGAAUACCGGUGGCGAAGGCGGCCCCCUGGACAAAGACUGACGCUCAGGUGCGAAAGCGUGGGGAGCAAACAGGAUUAGAUACCCUGGUAGUCCACGCUGUAAACGAUGUCGAUUUGGAGGUUGUGCCCUUGAGGCGUGGCUUCCGGAGCUAACGCGUUAAAUCGACCGCCUGGGGAGUACGGCCGCAAGGUUAAAACUCAAAUGAAUUGACGGGGGCCCGCACAAGCGGUGGAGCAUGUGGUUUAAUUCGAUGCAACGCGAAGAACCUUACCUGGUCUUGACAUCCACAGAACUUUCCAGAGAUGGAUUGGUGCCUUCGGGAACUGUGAGACAGGUGCUGCAUGGCUGUCGUCAGCUCGUGUUGUGAAAUGUUGGGUUAAGUCCCGCAACGAGCGCAACCCUUAUCCUUUGUUGCCAGCGGUUAGGCCGGGAACUCAAAGGAGACUGCCAGUGAUAAACUGGAGGAAGGUGGGGAUGACGUCAAGUCAUCAUGGCCCUUACGACCAGGGCUACACACGUGCUACAAUGGCAUAUACAAAGAGAAGCGACCUCGCGAGAGCAAGCGGACCUCAUAAAGUAUGUCGUAGUCCGGAUUGGAGUCUGCAACUCGACUCCAUGAAGUCGGAAUCGCUAGUAAUCGUAGAUCAGAAUGCUACGGUGAAUACGUUCCCGGGCCUUGUACACACCGCCCGUCACACCAUGGGAGUGGGUUGCAAAAGAAGUAGGUAGCUUAACCUUCGGGAGGGCGCUUACCACUUUGUGAUUCAUGACUGGGGUGAAGUCGUAACAAGGUAACCGUAGGGGAACCUGCGGUUGGAUCACCUCCUUA
rnacentral:rRNA from 1 species